rnacentral:lncRNA from 1 species
UAGGAAAUUAUUGUUAAAGAAUGGACAAUUAAGCUGGGCCAUACUGCCAAUCUUGCGAAUCGUCGUAUGGCUGAAUUUAAAUUAUGUGUGAAAAGAUUUGGGGCAUGUCACUUCUGAUGCUUAUGGCUUGUGCAGCAUAAAGACGUAGUUGACGUGCUAUUGUGAUUUUAUUAUAGAUGAUUUGUUUAGGUUAGCAUGUGCAAGAAA